AUCACUUCUCGGCCUUUUGGCUAAGAUCAAGUGUAGUUGCAAAGACAUCUUUUCUGUUUUCUUUGUCUUUGUCAGAUCCUCUCUAUGAGCUACUCACAUUUACUUUUGGUUUGGAUUAGUCCAGGUUCCUAACAGUGUGGCUGGUCUUCCAGGGGGAUCUGCUCCCCAACACUUGUCCCUCCUGAGGACUCCAUGA
rfam:Mus musculus chromosome 15, GRC primary reference assembly.